CAUUUGGUCAUGAACUCAUUUAAGGACUAAAUAAUAUAUCCUCUUAUAUCAAAUCAAAUAGUCCUAAGGACUUCAUCACAUAACAAGAGUUCAAAAUGAGAUGUAGAUAGUGAAGAAAAAAUUUAAAUAAUAUUUAUUAAUUCAAUAAUUUAUAUACAAUUACAAUGAUAAGCAUAACUAUUAACAGACUGACGAUUAGCUUUGAGAUACAAUUCUCAACAAUUGGAUA
rnacentral:lncRNA from 1 species